AGUGAACGCUGGCGGUAGGCCUAACACAUGCAAGUCGAACGGCAGCACAGUAAGAGCUUGCUCUUACGGGUGGCGAGUGGCGGACGAGUGAGGAAUACAUCGGAAUCUACUUUUUCGUGGGGGAUAACGUAGGGAAACUUACGCUAAUACCGCAUACGACCUACGGGUGAAAGCAGGGGAUCUUCGGACCUUGCGCGAUUGAAUGAGCCGAUGUCGGAUUAGCUAGUUGGCGGGGUAAAGGCCCACCAAGGCGACGAUCCGUAGCUGGUCUGAGAGGAUGAUCAGCCACACUGGAACUGAGACACGGUCCAGACUCCUACGGGAGGCAGCAGUGGGGAAUAUUGGACAUUGGGCGCAAGCCUGAUCCAGCCAUACCGCGUGGGUGAAGAAGGCCUUCGGGUUGUAAAGCCCUUUUGUUGGGAAAGAAAAGCAGCAGGUUAAUACCCCGCUGUUCUGACGGUACCCAAAGAAUAAGCACCGGCUAACUUCGUG
rnacentral:rRNA from 1 species